UUAACUCAAUUUUGUGCGGAUUUGGAAUGUUUGCCUACGUUUGCCGCCAGGGGCGCUGUUCCAACUGCAUACAAAUUUGAGUUA
rnacentral:pre_miRNA from 1 species